rnacentral:lncRNA from 1 species
GAGUUAUAAGGUAAACACAUAAAUUCAGAGCAUAGGUUUAAGUGCAGUCAAGUAGGACCAAAAUAGAAGUACAACACCUACAGGUGGGUCCUACAUGUAGAGCGUCUGUCAGAAUGCCGGAAAAAGACAUCGAGAGCCACCAACUGCUAACUAGAACCUGGAGGGGCGCAAAACAAAGAUGAGUGGGUCAGUAAAAUCAAAGAUUUUCCAAAACAUUUCAUUUAAAACAUUUCUAACCCCUCACCGUAAAACCUGUAUACUUUCCCAGAAAAAUAGUAUAUAAACAUAUAUAUACACAUAUCAUCAAAACUCAUAUCCAUCAACAUAACAUCUCAGAAAUAAUAUGCCACGCCAUGCCAAAUAUAAUAAAAAAUGCAUCAAUAUCAAUCAGGUGAAAUAAUAAAUCAACCGGAGACCCUACAAUGGUCCUGUACGGCUGAUUCUAAAGCUCAACAUCCCACUCAGCCGGAGUCAACACAGUGACCUAUACGGCCCUGCCGGAGUCACCAACUGUGACCUGUACGACAUUACACUGCACAUCACUCGGAACUACGUAUAGUAGUCUGUACGAUGAAAGGUGUAUAAAUACACUCUAGUGUUUCUCUCAUCAAUCAUCAGCGCGCAUAACUAAGGUCACCCACUAGUCGGAAUCACAUCUAGUGAUCUAUACAACUAGCAUGUCGGAACCCUUACAUGGUCUGUACGACAUCCACCUACUUGGAUCCAAGGCGAGCGUGCGGUGUGGUGAAUAAUAAUAUAAGCACUAACACCUAGGGUGCAGGUUAUGAGCUUUCAAUGCAAUUCUCAUAAAAUAACUCAUCUGAAUAAUAUAAAAACUCACCUGUGCAUCCACCGUGUCAAUUAACAUAUAUAUGCAUCAAUUAUCAAACUAAAUAUCUCAACAUUUGCAUGCAUGGCAAUUUAAAUCAUAAUUUUCAUAUAAACGCAUUUUCUGGGAAAACAGUUGUAUAUAGGUUAUACGAAAACAAAACUGCCCACUCACUGAUAAGUCGAUGGGUCGUAACCCCCGUGACGUCCCUGGAUGCGCUCGUCCUCGGGAUAGGUGUCACCUAUAUGCGAAACAACUAUAAAAACGUUAAUUUAAACACAUAACCAACAAUUCGAAAUAACUUCUCAUACGAUGCUCAAUUUGGGUAUAUGAAUACAUCACAUCGACCUACUCGACGUCACGGACGUCGAGAAAUUUUUAAAUAAAUUUUUUGGUGUCGCACGCGCCCCCACGUGCCAGGGAACGCACGGAUACACGCGCCCUCCACGCGCGUCAUCUUCCCCAGCCAGUCGCCGGACUGGUUUUUCCGGUAGCCGAAUUCCGGCGAGUUUUAAAACUUCUUGUUCUCCUUCGUUUCUCAACCAUUUUCUUCGUAUUUUAUACCAAAAUGAAGGCCCAAACAUGUAUAAUCACGAUACACUAUUUUUAAACUCCAAAAACAACUAAAUCUCAACGGAAAAAUCCAAGCAAAACCGGCCAAACUCAACCCUUGUGAUCCCGACGUCCAAAUCCUUCAAACGAAGCACUCCGAGCUUCCUUGGGACCUCACUAAGCUCACUAUAAGCUUAGAAUUCCCCGAAACACAACAUUUCACGUGUGCAUGAACAGUGACCAAAAAUGGGGGAUUCGGGUUCACGUGAAAUCGAAGGUUCCACGUCCUAAAACUAGCACCAAUCAACUCAAAACAUCAUGAGGAUGAAGAUUCAUACCUUGGUUGCUUCGAUCCACUGAGUUUUGGGGGAUUUUGGGUGUGAGCCGUACGUUUUGG